UACCAGCACCCCGAGUGGUCGGGACGUUUAUUGGGCCUAAAGCAUCCGUAGCCGGUUCUACAAGUCUUCCGUUAAAUCCACCUGCUUAACAGAUGGGCUGCGGAAGAUACUAUAGAGCUAGGAGGCGGGAGAGGCAAGCGGUACUCGAUGGGUAGGGGUAAAAUCCGUUGAUCCAUUGAAGACCACCAGUGGCGAAGGCGGCUUGCCAGAAUGCGCUCGACGGUGAGGGAUGAAAGCGGGGGGAGCAAACCGG
rnacentral:rRNA from 1 species